AUACGAACCGGACAAACGUUAUUCGGAAUUAUUGGGCGUAAAGGGUGCGUAGGCGGCAUAGUAAGUGAGAUGUGAAAUCUCCGGGCUUAACCUGGAAACUGCAUUUCAUACUGCUAAGCUAGAAUAUCAGAGAGGCAAAUGGAAUUCUCGGUGUAAGAGUGAAAUCUGCAGAUAUCGAGAAGAACACCAGUGGCGAAGGCGAUUUGCUGGCUGGAUAUUGACGCUGAGGCACGAAAGCUAGGGUAGCGAACGGGAUUAGAAACCCGAGUAGUCC
rnacentral:rRNA from 1 species